ensembl:lncRNA
GGUAAUAGAAUGGAUUAAGCAUGGUUUUGAGAAAGUAGUUCCUCAGUCUCCUGUCCAUCUUCGUCCUCCCGCUAGCACCGAUGCACCCGCCCAGAAGGUUGCUUCUGCACCUGUGACUCCCUGCAAACAAGAGCCAGGUAACAUUUUAAAAAUCAAGAAUGUUAGUCUUUCUUGGUGACAGAGUGGUCUGCGUGUGACAUUUUUCUUUUAUUUAGCACCUGCACCUGCACCUGCACCAACACCUGCUCCUGCACCUCCACCUGUGCCUGCACCUGCACCAGCACCAGCACCAACACCUGCACCUGCACCUGCAGCCCCACCUGCACCUGCACCUGCAGCUCCUGAGCAACCUAAAGUAGCUGAGGAUUCCAAAGGCAUGAAUAUGGUUGACUGGAUAGUACAGGGGCUCGGACGCAUCAUACCACAACCAGUACAGAAACCAAAAGAGGACAGCUCUGAUAUCGUUCAAAACGGGGAGAAGGCCGUUAAAGCCCCCAAAACAUAAGGAGAAGACGACUGGGAGAGUCAUUACCUCCACGCAGAGACAGCGCGAGACGUUCAGACAGAUACACAUACUAAUAUCAUCUAGUUCCAUACAGCUACAUCAGAUUUGAACAUUUGUAGCAGUGCUUUUUCAUGUAAUCUUCCUUGUUGAUUUCUGUUAACUGUAUUACAGAUCAGUUUGCUGGCUUGUUAAUUGUGAUGAUUGUUUAGUGCUUUGAUGAUUAGACUACCUCACAGACAUGCAGUAAACACACAGUGGCCCAGUCAGAGUUUACAAUGUCAUUUACUGCUUAUAUACUGUGUACAUUUGCGCCGUCAGCGUCACUAAACAUUAAACAUUUCCUCCUUUGCUUGGUCUGAAUGUCCAGCCCCAGACUUGUGUGCAGGAUUUCAUAAGCACCACAAAGCCACAGUUUUCACAUGUUAAGAGGAAAUCAACUUUUGUCUAGGAAUAUUAAACCAGGAUAGGAGAAAGUUUAACAUAAAAUAUCUUCCACCUUUAAUACUGCUUUUAAUGAUUUUCUUCCUCUGUAUUUUCUUCUUCUUGUUUUCCAGAACAUAUAUCUAAACAUUCUUUAAUCAAGACACAAGCAAAAUGACAUAUUCUUGCUUUCUAAAAAAAAAAUAUUUCUGAUUAAAAUGAGAAAAAAAAUAUCUGCCAAAGGGAUAUGAAAAAAAAUGUAAUUCAAAAGAAAAAGCAUUUUUUCUUACCCCACGGACAUAUAUUUUUUCUUGUUUUAGGCAUAAACUUGCUUCAUUUUGCUUUCAGAAAGCAAGACUUGAGAACAUAAUUUUGCUUCUUAAGUGAAGGUAUCUUGAUUUAAGAACAUUUAGAUAUUUGUACUGGAAAACAACACAAAAAUCCUGAGUAAGAAAAUAUUUUUUGCAGUGUCAGAGAGCACCUUUAUAUGCAAUAUUGUUGCCAUAAAAUAUUUUUUUUAAUAUUUUUUUUUAAAAGCCCAUAAAUCCCCAUGCCACUAAAUGCAUUUGCCAAUAUCUACAUUGCCUGCUAUAAAAAGCAAGAGCUAGUCUAAAUGCUUUGAAAAACAAAACCUAUGAGCUGUUUUACCAUGCUAAGGAUGUUAGCAAAGUCACUGUUUGUGAUUCAUCAAUAUCAGGCUUCACUACAGCAAGGUGGAACAUUCUCAUGCUGUAUAUUGAUGUUAUGUUUAUGUUUUAUUGUGAAGGGCUAUUGCUAACAACACAGGCAGCUACCUUACUUUGUCUGCUGUAUGAAAUCAAUAACCAAUAAAUUAUUUCAAAAAGCAGAUUGUUUGUCGUGU